UUCGCAAUGCCCGAAAGGGUGACGAAGCGACGCCGCGUGAGUGAGGAAGGCCUUCGGGUUGUAAAGCUCUGUCAGGAGUUAAGAAAUGUAAGUGUGCUAAUACCACAUUUAUUUGACGAAGGCUCCAAAGGAAGCCACGGCUAACUCUGUGCCAGCAGCCGCGGUAAUACAGAGGUGGCAAGCGUUGUUCGGAAUUAUUGGGCGUAAAGAGCACGUAGGUGGGUUUGUAAGUCAGAUGUGAAAGCCUUCUGUUCAACGGAAGAAUUGCAUCUGAAACUGCGAGUCUUGAGUGUAGGAGGGGAGAAUGGAACUUCUGGUGGAGCGGUGAAAUGCGUAGAUAUCAGAAGGAACGCCGGCGGCGAAAGCGACUCUCUGGCCUAUUACUGACACUGAGUGUGCGAAAGCUAGGGGAGCAAACGGGAUUAGAUACCCCGGUAGUCCUAGCCGUAAACGAUGGGCACUAA
rnacentral:rRNA from 1 species